GAUGAACGCUGGCGGCGUGCUUAACACAUGCAAGUCGAACGAAGCACUUUAUUUGAUUUCCUUCGGGACUGAUUAUUUUGUGACUGAGUGGCGGACGGGUGAGUAACGCGUGGGUAACCUGCCUUGUACAGGGGGAUAACAGUUGGAAACGGCUGCUAAUACCGCAUAAGCGCACGGCAUCGCAUGAUGCAGUGUGAAAAACUCCGGUGGUAUAAGAUGGACCCGCGUUGGAUUAGCUAGUUGGUGAGGUAACGGCCCACCAAGGCGACGAUCCAUAGCCGACCGGAGAGGGGGACCGGCCAAAUUGGGACGGAGACACGGCCCAAACUCCUACGGGAGGAAGCAGGGGGGAAUAUUGAAAAAUGGGGGAAAGCCUGAGGAAGGGAAGCCGGGUGAGGGAAGAAGUAUUGCGGUAUGUAAAGCUCUAUCAGAAGGGAAGAUAAGGACGGAACCUGACAAAGAAACACCGGCAAAAUACGU
rnacentral:rRNA from 1 species